rnacentral:tRNA from 1 species
GCGGGAGUGGUGGAAUUGGCAGACACGCAGGAUUUAGGUUCCUGUGCUGAAAGGCGUGUGGGUUCAAGUCCCACCUUCCGCA